rnacentral:rRNA from 1 species
AGUGAACGCUGGCGGUAGGCCUAACACAUGCAAGUCGAACGGCAGCACAGUAAGAGCUCGCUCUUACGGGUGGCGAGUGGCGGACGGGUGAGGAAUACAUCGGAAUCUACUUUUUCGUGGGGGAUAACGUAGGGAAACUUACGCUAAUACCGCAUACGACCUACGGGUGAAAGCAGGGGAUCUUCGGACCUUGCGCGAUUGAAUGAGCCGAUGUCGGAUUAGCUAGUUGGCGGGGUAAAGGCCCACCAAGGCGACGAUCCGUAGCUGGUCUGAGAGGAUGAUCAGCCACACUGGAACUGAGACACGGUCCAGACUCCUACGGGAGGCAGCAGUGGGGAAUAUUGGACAAUGGGCGCAAGCCUGAUCCAGCCAUACCGCGUGGGUGAAGAAGGCCUUCGGGUUGUAAAGCCCCUUUGUUGGGAAAGAAAAGCAGCAGGUUAAUACCCCGCUGUUCUGACGGUACCCAAAGAAUAAGCACCGGCUAACUUCGUG